CGCUGCGCCUGCGUGUGGCCGACUGUUUGAGGGCGGUCGUCCGGCUCGCCGGCGACUCCGGACACCCGGUGGGCGGAGGGGACGUGCGAAAUGUGAGAAAAGUGCGAAAUUAAGGGGCUCAAAAGGCUUAGUAAUCAAAUCAAGAGAAAUUGUGAAGUACGGCAGUUCUCUCAGUUGAAACAGGCAAAGAAGAUUCUGAAAACAUUACUGAGACACAGCGAGAGAGGGAACACAAGCAGCAGGAGUGGGAGAGGGAGAAGCAGGCCUCCCGCGGAGCAGGGAGCCCGAUGCGGGGCUCGAUCCCAGGACCCUGGGACCAUGACCUGAGCCGAAGGCAGAUGCUUAACGACUGAGCCACCCAGGCGCCCCUAAAUAUACCUACUUUUAAAUUUUUCAAUAUUUUUGUAACCACUUUAAAUGUAAAAAAAAUAACCAUUAAAAAAUACAUUAAAACACGCAUAUCAAGUUUCA